GGCAAAGCAGGGACUGUGCUGUCACAUGCUACUGAAGCAAACAAAAAUCCUAUUGUAUGGGGUGAGGGGUGGGGAAAAAGGAAAAUGAACAAGGUGAGGCAGUGAGGAAGGAAGUACACGUUAGCAUAACCCGCCGUUUAUGGGUUUAAUGUGUGCCCAUGGGUGUGUGCAGGUGCACUCAGGGCACUGUGUUGUGGUCUGCUGCCUGGAGGCAGACCAGGGCUUGUGCGUGGCUUUUGGCUAGAGUUACUCACAGGUGACCCACGGAGUCAGUGCAGGGGCUAUGAGAAUUUGCAUUUGCAUCAAAACGAUGCAGAAUCAAGACUGAAAGAAGUUAAGUAACUUCACUCUAGAUCAUCUGGUAGAGGGUAUAAAGGAGAUCUAGCCCUGGGAAGUUAGGCUCUAAAACCUGUGCCGUUCCUAUGAAAGCACAUUUCCUUCAUAAAAGGGUAACUUACAUCUUGUCUUUUCUGUAGUCUCUAAGUGGUUGAUUCCAUAAGAAAGUACUCAAAGCCAGUGACUGUUGAACUCAGUUUUAGCAUUUUUGGAAACUGAGAUCCAAAAAGUGUAAAUGAUUGUGAAACGGGCUUCAGUGGCUUCGUUGCAAAUCUAGAACUAAACAUCUUUUUCUUUUGCUACAAAAUGUUGUAAAUACUGAAAACAAUUUCUCAUCUAAUUCACUAUUGCAAGCUGUCGCAUAAUUUGGCUAUAAUCUUGAAGCCAAAUGGCUCAUUUUGCAGGCAUUAUUUGCACAGCCAUUUCCUUUCUUUUUUUGUGGCAGUAUAUGUGUGGAUUAGGAGUAACUCACAGCAACCAAAAGUAAACUAAAAACAAAUAUGUCAUUUGAUUUUAAAUGUGCUAAAUUUUGUCCUGAUGUUAGUAUAAAUAGUGUAUAAACAAGAUGUGCACACUACUUGGGGUGGGAUAUAAGGUCAUGAAUCCUUAAUUGUAAAGAAACCAAAAAGUUUUUAGAAAAAGAGUAGGUGGAGAAAACAGAAGAUUAUUGAACAGGCAAUAAUAAGAGAGAUUUAGUGAGAGACUAUAAAAGGCAAAAAAAAAAGAGAAACAGCUCAGAGACUCUGAACUGAGACUAUGUCCACCCCAAAAGAAGACUUUAUGCAGGGGAAUUCUGGAAGCAGACUUUUAAAUAGGCUAAUAUGUAAUCAAGUCCUGGGCAGACUAUAGGGUAGCAAGUUUAACCUAUUGCUGGGAAAAGGAGCUGGAUAUAAAAAAAAGGAAUCUUGACCCCUCUGUGACCAAAGUUUAAGAAAGAAACAUUUAGCGUAUUAUUAGGGUGAGAUAUAUGACUGUGUGUGUCUUGAGUGCAGAGAAAGGAGGCAGGGAUACUCAAGGGUUGACAGAAAAAUGGGUGUAGCAACACGUGUGAUGGGAUAGAAAAAGUCACAGGAAAGCCAUAUGCGAUUGCAACUUUGAGAUAAGGUAAAUCAAAGUGAAAGAAGUCAUUAAGUCAGGUAACAAAUACUUAUCAAGUGCCUGUUGUUUGCUGGACAUAGCAGGAGUGCUCCCAGGCAAGGAAUAGACACCUAUUUUUCAGACUUCUGAUCUCUUUGGGGAUUGCCAAAAUGACCUCAAGUAGUGAAGAUAUAGUGGAAUAAUCUGUAUUUCUGCUGACCUUGAUGACAUUUGGAUCUCAUUUGAGGUACUAAGAAGAAUAAGCAAUUGGUUUGAAAAAAGCCCUUUUAAGAGCAAAAUGAAUUCUGCUAAAGUUGAAGCAGGAACAAAUAUCAAAUUUAUGGUGAAGCUCAGGUGGAAGAAUGAUGAAAUCACUGAUGCUUUACAAGAAGUUUAUGGGGACAAUGCCUUAAAGAAAUCAGCAGUUUACAAAUGGAUAACUUGUUUUAGGAAAGGAUGAGAUGCUGAAGAUAAAUCCUGCAGUGGCAAAUUCAUCCACAUCAAUUUGUAAGGAAAAAAUUUAUCUUCUUCAUGCCCUAACUAACCAACAUUUAAUAGCUUGGACAAUAGCCAACACCACAGACAUCUCAAUUAGUUCAGCUUACACAAUCCUGACUAAAAAAUCAAAGUUGAGCACCUUCCACUCAAUUGGUGCCAAAACCAUGGCACCCAGAUCAACUGCAGACAAGAGUGGAGCUUUCCAUGAAUAUUUUAAACAACUGGGAUCAAGAUCCUGUAGCAUUUCUCAAAGAAUAGUAACAAGAGAUGAAACAUAGCUUUACCAGUAUGAUCCUGAAGACAAAGCACAAUCAAAGCAAUGGCUACCAAGAGGUGGAGUGGUCCAGUCAAAGCAAAAGCAGACCAGUCAAAAGCAAGGGUCAUGGCAACAGUGUUUUGGGAUGCCCAAGGCACUUUGUUUGCUGACUUGCUGGAAGGCCAAAAAACGAUCACAUCUGCUUAUUAUGAGAGUGUUCUGAGAAAGUUAGCCAGAGCUUUAGUAGAAAAAUGCCUGGGAAAGCUCCACCAAAGAGUCCUUCUCUACCAUGACAAUGCUCCUGCUCAUUCAUCUCAUCAAACAAGAGGAAAUUUGUGACAGUUUCAAUGGGAAAUCAAUAGGCAUCCACCUUAUAGUCCUGAUUUGGCUCCUUUUAACCUGUUUUUGUUUCUUAGUCUUUUUUUAAAAAAAUCUUUAAAGGGCAAUCAUUUUUCUUCGGUAAAUAAUGUAGAGUGCAUUGACAUGGUUAAAAAGACUGCAUUGACAUGGUUAAAUUACCAGAACUCUCAGUACAUUAGGUAUGGAUUAAAUGGCUGAUAUAUCACUUUCUCAUCAAUUUCAAGACAUUUUUGUUUUCUCAUAUGAUGCAUCAUGAAGCAAAGAUGACUGAAGUGCCUCUUUGUACCUGAUAGUUUCCCAAUGUGUUUUUAUAAUUUUAGGUUCUAAGCUUAUUUUUAAUAUGUAUGUGUUUCUCCUGUAGAAAAUCUUGGUUGAUAAUUUGUCCUUUUGCUACUUCUAGGCUUCCCAGGAUAUCCCAAUUUCAGAGCACUUUUUAUGUUAAUUUCUCACUUAGAGGUUGGCAAACCUCACAUAUAUUACCUAUUUCAAUUAUAAGCCCCCAAAUUUAUGUGAGGGGAGGCAUGGUUACAAACUCAUAGGGAAGACAUUUUCCUCUUUACUUAGAGCCCAAACCAAGACAUUCAUUUAUGCAAUAAAAGCUUACUAAGUUACUGUGCUAAAGACUAGGGAUGUCAUAAGAAACAGGCAAAAUCUCUGCUCUCAUGAAAGUUAUAUUUUGGAAGAAUAUCCUUGUGCUGAUGGGGAAAUUUUCUAGUCCUCCAGCAGGAAUCUCAGUUUUCACUCCCUGACUCCAUUAGGCUCAUGGCCUCAUUUCAUAUUCUUUUAUGGUUAUUAUAACCCAUUUCCAUGAUUACCAAGGCUGGCAAUAUUCUUUCCUCCACCAUCUUCAAAUUGACCUUACCAUUUUAUUUUGCCUUCUUCAUUUUUGGCAAGUAGGAGCUUGGCUUACUUUAUUGUAAGCUCAGCUAUACAUUUAAAAGUAAAUAUACAAUUUCUUUUCAUCAUUUCUAUGGGUUUGGUGGCACAGGGAGUUACAAUAUCUGGUCUACCACAUUGCAGGAACUAGAUUUCCCCAGAUGACUAACUCUUCAGUCAAAAGUCUUCUUUUUUCCCCGCCUCAAACACUUUAGAUUUACUUAUGCCACUGUGGAAAAUUAUUUCCACUGUCCUUGAAGUCCCCUUUCCCAGGUUUUCCCUCUGCUGUUUUUUUCUAAUCUUUCACGGUGUGCUCAAAUGUUACCUCUUCAAAGAGGCUUUCCUGGAAAACCUCACCUUGAGCACUCUAUCUCACUCACUAAUUUCUUUGUUUUUUUUCUUAUUUAUAACUUUAUCAGUAUUUUGAAUUAUUAUACUUAUUUAUUUACUUACUUGUUGAUCAUGCCUCUAUUCCACUGUAAUGCAACUUCCAUGACAGCAUGAUCUUUUUUGUCUUGUUUAUCAUUAUUUCUCUAGGGUCAGUCUACCACUACUUUUAUUGUCUUGGCAGAAUUAGGUGUCUCCUGAGGUGAUGCAAAAAGAAAAGACAUUAUCAGUGAUGGCUUCUAACCAAGGAUUCAAGGCUUCUGAUUUAAAUUCUAUAUUAUAGCCAUCACAGGGGUGAAGGCACAAAGUAAAUGACACCAGAAAGAGGAUUUAACACAAAAUCCGAAACUUGGGAUAUUUCACAGGAUAAAUUGCUGAGCCUCUUCAGCAAAUAAGUGUCUAGCAAAUCCUGUAUUAGUAUCUUUAGUGAUCAUACCUGAAUUUGCUCUCCAAAGGCACCAUAUCUAUACAUUCUUAGUAUCCUAUCUGUUUUAAGCAGAUAAUAAAGUCAGCUAAACCUUCCCUUACUGUUACACACUGAGUAAGUGCAAUUUGGAUGGUUUGAAGAUAUUAAAUCUUUCAGCCCAGAUUUAAGAAUACCUGUUUGAGAGAAAUUACAAGAGCUUUUAAUGCUUGCUACAGAAAGGUAAUGUCUUAUCUUUUCUGUUUAGUAUUUUGCAUUCCAAAAAAUGAGAAAAGUUAUUCCAUAAGUUGAUAAUUGAAUAAAAGAAUCAAAACAUG
rnacentral:lncRNA from 1 species